rnacentral:rRNA from 1 species
AAUGGGGGCAACCCUGAUCCAGCAAUGCCGCGUGUGUGAAGAAGGCCCUAGGGUUGUAAAGCACUUUCAGUCGUGACGAUGAUGGCGGUAACGACAGAAGAAGCCCCGGCUAACUCCGUGCCAGCAGCCGCGGUAAUACGGAGGGGGCAAGCGUUGUUCGGAAUUACUGGGCGUAAAGGGCGCGUAGGCGGCCAAGUCAGUCAGGCGUGAAAGCCCAGGGCUCAACCCUGGAAUUGCGCUUGAUACUGCUUGGCUCGAGACCGGAAGAGGGUAGUGGAAUUCCCAGUGUAGAGGUGAAAUUCGUAGAUAUUGGGAAGAACACCAGUGGCGAAGGCGGCUACCUGGUCCGGAUCUGACGCUGAGGCGCGAAAGCGUGGGGAGCAAACAGGAUU